UCUGCCUUCAUUCACUGUUUCAAAAGACACAAUGCUCCCUCAGUCAGGUUUCUGAAAACACUUGACAGCAGUUCUCUUCAAUGGAAAACAUAUACAGUACUUCACAGCUUAGUGAAAUAGGUUGCACUGUUACUCAGUAUAAACAUUUCGUCUGACUUGGUUGUGACUUUAAUUGGGCCUUGAAUUUGGAAGGGAAUGCGGAAAGGCAUGAUUGCCAGUCAGGGCAACGUGUUUAUAAGCAUUUAAAAGGAAUCAUAAAAGAGCUGGAGAAAUAUGAGAGUCUGAGCCAGAGACUGGAGGAGGAGGCCCAAUGUCUGCAACUCUGCGAGCCCAGGAUUCUUUUGAAGACCCUGAACCGGAGUUACACACUGACUAUGGUUCUCUGCGGGAAUGGGACCCAUUCUCGGGUUUCACGACUGGCCGUUGUUCGGCACGCCAAGAGCUCGGCCUAAGAGUUCGGCUCACCUUUGUAGGCCUAGGGUCUUGUGGCUCUGAAGAUGGACGGAUCAAAGGUUGCUGUCACAGCAGGUGAUCCAUGCGUCUUCGAGGGAGUCAGAAAAUCUACGGCUGUCUGCCCAGAGACCCAAGAUCUUUGGGCACAGAGCUCAGAAAAAGCAACGCAAUGGACUUUUAACACUGUAAACCAGUGAGUUGUUAGUUAUGUCUCCUCUCUCAUUGUGAAACAGAGACAUCACUUUCUCCCUUAUUAGGGAGAGAGAGAGAGCCCAUGGUAUGUCGAAUGCCGGGUGAAAUGCAAAGUCUUUGGAAAACUGCAAGUCUGUGCCUUUACUGUUCCUUCGCUCAGGCUUGAGUGCUUGUUGGCGGGUGCUUUUUUUGCCGGUGGGGGGGAGGGUCAAUUGUUGCUUGCUGCCGCUCACGCGAGGGAGGGAGAGAAGUUGGGGGUAGGGGACUUUGGGAUCCUACCAUAUAAGCGUCAUCCAUUCUUUGGGGCACUCCUCUGUUUUCGUGGAUGGUUGCAAAGAAAAAGCUUUUCAGGAUGUAUAUUGUAUACAUUUCUCUGACAUUAAAUGUACCUUUGAAACCUUC